ACAAUGGCAUUAAUUAUUGGAAAGAAUUCUUUCCGGGUACGCCUUGGAAAGAGGCUCAAA
rnacentral:misc_RNA from 1 species